UUUAUGUUUAAAGAUGCUUUCAGUAUAUUUAAGUCAGUUUGUGACUUUGUUUCUGCUCACAUUAACAGGUGUUAUCUGUGAUGAUCUCACUCCAGUCAAGAAUGAAGUGUUCGGUUCAGAAGACAGCACUAUAACUCUGUCCUACAGAUACUCCAAGACUGUUUCUAGUGGUGAUGAUUUCUUCUGGUAUCAACAACAUCCAGGAAAACCACCAGAGUUUAUUCUGUAUAUCUCUGGGCGUAAUUCUUCAAGACCAGCAGACUCUCUCAAAUCAGACUCAGAGUUCUCGACUAAGGUGUCUGGAAAGAACCAUCUGGAUCUACAGAUCUCCUCUGCUGCACUGACUGACUCUGCUGUGUACUACUGUGCUCUGAGGCCCACAGUGACAGGAAACACCACAACUCUGUACAAAAACCUCUGGAGAGAAGACAACACAAUACUCCACAACAUCCACUAGAGGGAGUCACACUCUGAUAAACUUUAGUUGUAUGUGUUGAUACAGUCUAGAUUCUUUCCCCUCAUGAUACAGUUGUGAUAAAACUCUUCAGAAAUGAAAAUGAUUUGAUAUGAGUCUCCUCCUACUGACUGCAGAGGAGCCUUAUGACAGAGAACUGGGUCUUUGUAAUAUAACAAUGAGUAAGGUCUUUUACCUGCUCUUUUGUAAAGUGUCUUCAGAUAACAUUUGUUAUGAAUUGGUGCUAUACAAAUAAAGAUUGAUUGAGAACUCUUUUAAUCAAGCUGUGAACAUCAGACCGAACAACUCAGCACCAACUCAUACUAGUUC